rnacentral:tRNA from 1 species
GUGGAUAUAGUUUAAUUAAAACAUUAGAUUGUGGUUCUAAAAAUAAAGGUUGAAAUCCGCUUAUCUACC